GUACUAAGGUAGCAUAAUCAAUUGUCUUUUAAUUGAAGAAUGGAAUGAAAGAAUUAAUGAAAUAUAUACUGUCUCAAUUAUAAAAAUUAAUUUAAAUUUUUAGUUAAAAUGCUAAAUUUAAAUUAUGGGACGAUAAGACCCUAUAGAAUUUUAUAUUAAAUUAUUUGUAAUAAUUAAUUAUUAAAUUAUUAUAAAUAAUUUAAUAUUUAAUUGGGAGGAUUUAUAAAUUUAAUAAACUUUAUAUUAAUAAUUAAACUUUGAUUUAAGAAAAUUUAAUUUGAUAUAGUAGUAUUAAUUAAAAAAAAAAAUUACCUUACGGAUAACAGCGUAAUAUCUUUUUAAAGUACAAAUUAAUAA
rnacentral:rRNA from 1 species